rnacentral:rRNA from 1 species
GACGAACGCUGGCGGCGUGCUUAACACAUGCAAGUCGAACGGAAAGGCCCUGCUUUUGUGGGGUGCUCGAGUGGCGAACGGGUGAGUAACACGUGAGUAACCUGCCCUUGACUUUGGGAUAACUUCAGGAAACUGGGGCUAAUACCGGAUAGGAGCUCCUGCUGCAUGGUGGGGGUUGGAAAGUUUCGGCGGUUGGGGAUGGACUCGCGGCUUAUCAGCUUGUUGGUGGGGUAGUGGCUUACCAAGGCUUUGACUGGUAGCCGGCCUGAGAGGGUGACCGGCCACAUUGGGCCUACGGUACGGCCCAGACUCCUACGGGAGGCAGCAGUGGGGAAUAUUGCACAAUGGGCGGAAGCCUGAUGCAGCAACGCCGCGUGCGGGAUGACGGCCUUCGGGUUGUAAACCGCUUUCGCCUGUGACGAGGCGUGAGUGACGGUAAUGGGUAAAGAAGCACCGGCUAACUACGUG